AUGUUGUGGUGUUCCACUUUUUACAUUAGAGUUAGACCCUUUCUCUCUCCUACAAUUCUCUUCUCUUUUAGACGUGGACGCUUCCUCCAUCACAAACACAGAAAAAAUCAGCAGCUAAAAGAGAUUAUUUUGAGAAGAUAUCUGACAAGAGUGAAUUUUAGUGGCAACAAUUGUGUUUGUUGUGUUUUUGAUGAAGAAUUAGGAUUCUUACUUUAUGUCUGA